UAGGGAAUCUUCCACAAUGGACGAAAGUCUGAUGGAGCAACGCCGCGUGAGUGAAGAAGGGUUUCGGCUCGUAAAACUCUGUUGUUAAAGAAGAACAUAUCUGAGAGUAACUGUUCAGGUAUUGACGGUAUUUAACCAGAAAGCCACGGCUAACUACGUUCCAG
rnacentral:rRNA from 1 species